rnacentral:rRNA from 1 species
AUUGAACGCUGGCGGCAUGCCUUACACACGCAAGUCGAACGGUAACAGGUCUUCGGAUGCUGACGAGUGGCGAACGGGUGAGUAAUACAUCGGAACGUGCCCAGACGUGGGGGAUAACGAGGCGAAAGCUUUGCUAAUACCGCAUACGAUCUAAGGAUGAAAGCAGGGGACCGCAAGGCCUUGCGCGUUUGGAGCGGCCGAUGGCAAAUUAGGUAGUUGGUGGGAUAAAAGCUUACCAAGCCGACGAUCUGUAGCUGGUCUGAGAGGACGACCAGCCACACUGGGACUGAGACACGGCCCAGACUCCUACGGGAGGCAGCAGUGGGGAAUUUUGGACAAUGGGCGAAAGCCUGAUCCAGCAAUGCCGCGUGCAGGACGAAGGCCUUCGGGUUGUAAACUGCUUUUGUACGGAACGAAAAGACACUGGCUAAUACCUGGUGUUGAUGACGGUACCGUAAGAAUAAGCACCGGCUAACUACGUGCCAGCCGCCGCGGUAAUAC